UCCGGAUCCUUCAGGAAGUCAGGUGUUCAUGGUUCCGCUAUCGGGGAAGAGGAAGGGGCCAGCGGCGGCGAGGCCAUGGCAGUGGAGCGCGCCGGCGGCCGGCGCUGGGCGAGAACACGACGACGCCGUUGUCACAAAGUUUUAUCCUGAUCGCACGAUUUUCAGUGAAUCCAAGUCGUCCAUCCACGGACGAGCGGUUUAGGCCGUCAAGACUAAGCCUGCAGCUGCCGCCGGCGACCACCGCGACGCCGUCCUCCUACCCAGGCGGCGCUUCAGAACCGCCUCACCCAUCCUGCCGCGCCUCAUUCUUCCUCUGCUCCGACGCCUUGCCUGUUAAAUCCGGGCCACUUCGCGUCCGGGCUUGUCUCUCUUCCCACCACGCCAAUGCAAGAAUCGUCUAUCGAAUGAACCCAGGGAGGGAGGUACGGGAAGCGGUGUGGUACAGGUGCACAGGCACGGCCGUGUGCGGCACCCUUCUUUCGGCGUCCGCAGAGGGCAACCUCAUCGGCAAGGUGGAUAAGCUGUUCGAGGAAAUGCCGGAGAGGAGAUACGGUGAGCACUGCAAAGCUGUUCGAGGAAAUGCCAAAGAGGGGAAGAAGUGAGCACCGUAUUGCCUGCAAGCACAGUAGUUGGGGCAAUGUAACUGGGAGGAAGGUGGAGUAGUCGUUGCCAAACCUGUGUUCUUCAAAAUAACAUUCGUCGUGCAUGAUCUGUGGAUGAAGGCUCUCUCUCAUUGGUCCUUGAUGAUAGUAGAUUGGCACAUCUAAGAAGAAAUUACCUUCCGUGGAAGAGGAUAGCAUGAAAAAUUGUUGCAGCAAGGGUUGCAAAACCAACACCAUAUGUGACAAGAAGGGAAGUACUGAGGUACAGUGGACCGUUCUUCUCGUAGGCCUUGGCGUCGAAAUGGAAGUGAGAGUCUACAAUGCUUGAUACAUUAUACUUUUGCCCAAUUGAGGUAAAGAUGCCAUCAGAAAAUAUGGGGAAGUUCUGUGCCUUGUAGAAAUUAAACCAGUAUGCAAUUGGUGUGAUUACGUACAUGAUGAUGAAGAAGCCAACACCAACAUUUACAGUGGCAAACCAAGGGCUAGCAAGAGGGCUCCCAAGGUAGGAGGAGGCAGUUGACCAGUCAAGGCCGAUUGCACCAACGCCGAGGCCUCGAAGACCUGAGCCAAGCUGUUGGGCAAGGACAGAGUCAGGGAAGAUCCAACAGAUCCAGGACAGGGAGGUUAGCAUCUGGAACAGAUAGCCUGGGAAGAUGCAGUAUGUGAAGCUACAGAUGAAUGCCGCCAAGAAAAACUGGUUGCGCGUCAAGCCACCUUUUCUGCGUGCUUCCUUCUGGUGAAGUGCACUAGGACAAAAAGAAAAUGUAAGUUACGCUUAUUUUCAUUACGAAAUGCAAAUGCAACUUCUUUGUCGCUUUAGAGGUCAUACAUAGGUGCAAAUCUUUAGUUUAAUCUGUGUUUAAAUCUUGGGUUUCUUGAUGAACUCAAAAGAAAUUGGUGUGUGUUUGUCUUGUCAUUCAUUGCUUGGGAAGUUAUUUGUAAAAUUAAUAGAAAGAACAUAUAAGAGUCAAGUCCCUCAGCUCCUAUGUCACUUGUUUUCUUCCAUUUAUUCUGUAGUUGGGUGCAGCACCGAGUGUUUACAAGUGUAACAUAUGGUGCAGAUUAGCUAGCGUCGAGGCUGAAGUAGAUCAAAAUGGUGUAAGGAUUCAGUUCUGGUGAGACUAUUUUGUCAUACUGUCUACUCUCUGGUUGUCAAGAAGUACCUGAACAGAGAGACCUGCACUAGGUUGGACGGCCACCACAUAGACGCCGGCUCAACUAGAUACCGCCGGAAUAUUCCUGCCCAGCCGAACCCCAGCAUCUGAUGAUAGUAUGAUUAAAAAAAUAAAAAGCUAGCAUAUCGAUAGGAUCUGAGAAGUAAAACUGCAAGAUGAAUGCAAUCACUUCGGAUUGUCAGGCGGAAGCUUGUGUGUGCAUGCACGCACCUGUGUGGUGAGGACGACGAGGAGGGAGAUGAAGAAGGAGAGGGGCUUCCCGUAGAAGACACGGACGCCGGUGAUGAGGUGGAUGGCGUAGACGGUGCCGGCGCCGGAGUUGGCGAAGAUGGUGAUGAGCACGUGCUCCUUCACGUUGAACGGCCCCGGGUUGAGGGUGAACUCCCAUGCCCGGGCGCGGAAGAAGGCGCGCUCCGGCAGCGCCGCCGCCAUGAGGCAGCCGAGCGGCACGACGGCGAUCUGCGCGGAGACGGCGGUGACGGUGAGCGGCUCCUUGCGGUACCAGAAGAACUGGUUGAGGAAGGACAGCGCGGCGCACGACGCCGUCCCCAGCAGGCCAGCACCCACAUCCGGAACGUCAGCGCCGGCGUCCCCGGCUCGUCGCCGACCGGCACCGUCAGCGCCACCUGUUCCACCGGCGAGUUCCCCUAUCCGUACUCCGGCGAGCCGCGCGUCGUCGACGUCGAUGGCCGCACUGCGCACGAUCGAGCAACAUCAUCAGCCAGCCAUAGCCAUUGCCAUAUAUGAAACCAGAACUGAACUAGCUGGAUAGGGCGAGCGCUUACAGAGCGGGGAGGUGAUCCGGUCGCCAUGGCGGAGCUCCUCCUCCUCCUCCUCCUCUUCCUCUUCUUGCAUCUGUUGCUCACUUGCUUCCUCUUGGGUCGUCGUCGUCAUGGUUUGUGUUGCAUGUGCUCACUUUUUUUUUUGGUUCCUCGGGUUCAUCAGAUAUUUGGCUUCAUCAUUUUUGUUCAUUUGAAAAAGUGGCGAAAGGGAUGCUUGUGUGCCAUAUUUAAUAGGCGACGCACGACGAGGUUGGUAUCUUGUACCGGUAGGAGAACCAUUUUUUACGGUAAAGCAUUAUUUUUUUUUCUUUUUGCAUGUUGACCUUUCUAAGAAAAUACAUUAAAAAUGGUUUGUACGUAUUGAGUGAA